GAUGAACGCUGACAGAAUGCUUAACACAUGCAAGUCAACUUGAACUUCGGUUUGGGUGGCGGACGGGUGAGUAACGCGUAAAGAACUUGCCUCACAGCUAGGGACAACAUUUGGAAACGAACGCUAAUACCUGAUAUUAUGAUUAUAUGGCAUCGUAUAAUUAUGAAAGCUAUAUGCGCUGUGAGAGAGCUUUGCGUCCCAUUAGCUAGUUGGAGAGGUAACAGCUCACCAAGGCGAUGAUGGGUAGCCGGCCUGAGAGGGUGAUCGGCCACAAGGGGACUGAGACACGGCCCUUACUCCUACGGGAGGCAACAGUGGGGAAUAUUGGACAAUGGACCGAGAGUCUGAUCCAGUAAUUCUGUGUGCACGAUGAAGUUUUUCGGAAUGUAAAGUGCUUUCAGUUGGGAAGAAAAAAAUGACGGUACCAACAGAAGAAGUGACGGCUAAAUACGUG
rnacentral:rRNA from 1 species